GACGAACGCUGGCGGCGUGCUUAACACAUGCAAGUCGAACGCUGAAGACCUGGCUUUUGUUGGGUUGGAUGAGUGGCGAACGGGUGAGUAACACGUGAGUAACCUGCCCUCUUCUUUGGGAUAACGCCCGGAAACGGGUGCUAAUACUGGAUAUUCACUGAUCUUCGCAUGGGGGUUGGUGGAAAGGUUUGUUCUGGUGGGGGAUGGGCUCGCGGCCUAUCAGCUUGUUGGUGGGGUGAUGGCCUACCAAGGCUUUGACGGGUAGCCGGCCUGAGAGGGUGACCGGUCACAUUGGGACUGAGAUACGGCCCAGACUCCUACGGGAGGCAGCAGUGGGGAAUAUUGCACGAUGGGCGAAAGCCUGAUGCAGCGACGCCGCGUGAGGGAUGGAGGCCUUCGGGUUGUAAACCUCUUUCGCUCAUGGUCAAGCCGCAACUGUGGGUUGUGGUGAGGGUAGUGGGUAAAGAAGCGCCGGCUAACUACGUG
rnacentral:rRNA from 1 species